UACGUAGGGACCAAGCGUUGUCCGGAAUCAUUGGGCGUAAAGAGCGUGUAGGCGGCCUGUUAAGUCUUGCGUGAAAUCUCGGGGCUCAACCCCGAGCGGUCGUGAGAAACUGGCAGGCUAGAGUGCGGUAGGGGAGAUUGGAAUUCCUGGUGUAGCGGCGGAAUGCGCAGAUAUCAGGAGGAACACCGAUGGCGAAGGCAGAUCUCUGGGCCGUAACUGACGCUGAGGAGCGAAAGCGUGGGGAGCGAACAGG
rnacentral:rRNA from 1 species